rnacentral:rRNA from 1 species
GCGGACGGCGCUGAAGCCAGUCGAAGAUACCAGCUGGCUGCAACUGUUUAUUAAAAACACAGCACUGUGCAAACACGAAAGUGGACGUAUACGGUGUGACGCCUGCCCGGUGCUGGAAGGUUAAUUGAUGGGGUUAGCGCAAGCGAAGCUCCUGAUCGAAGCCCCAGUAAACGGCGGCCGUAACUAUAACGGUCCUAAGGUAGCGAAAUUCCUUGUCGGGUAAGUUCCGACCUGCACGAAUGGCGUAAUGAUGGCCAGGCUGUCUCCACCCGAGACUCAGUGAAAUUGAACUCGCUGUGAAGAUGCAGUGUACCCGCGGCAAGACGGAAAGACCCCGUGAACCUUUACUAUAGCUUGACACUGAACAUUGAGCCUUGAUGUGUAGGAUAGGUGGGAGGCUUUGAAGUGUGGACGCCAGUCUGCAUGGAGCCAACCUUGAAAUACCACCCUUUAACGUUUGAUGUUCUAACCUAGGCCCAUAAACUGGGUCGGGGACCGUGUCUGGUGGGUAGUUUGACUGGGGCGGUCUCCUCCUAAAGAGUAACGGAGGAGCACGAAGGUUGGCUAAGCAUGGUCGGACAUCAUGCGGUUAGUGCAAAGGCAUAAGCCAGCUUGACUGCGAGAGUGACGGCUCGAGCAGGUACGAAAGUAGGUCUUAGUGAUCCGGUGGUUCUGAAUGGAAGGGCCAUCGCUCAACGGAUAAAAGGUACUCCGGGGAUAACAGGCUGAUACCGCCCAAGAGUUCAUAUCGACGGCGGUGUUUGGCACCUCGAUGUCGGCUCAUCACAUCCUGGGGCUGAAGUAGGUCCCAAGGGUAUGGCUGUUCGCCAUUUAAAGUGGUACGCGAGCUGGGUUUAGAACGUCGUGAGACAGUUCGGUCCCUAUCUGCCGUGGGCGUUGGAAGAUUGAGAGGGGUUGCUCCUAGUACGAGAGGACCGGAGUGAACGCACCACUGGUGUUCGGGUUGUCAUGCCAAUGGCAUUGCCCGGUAGCUAAGUGCGGAAGAGAUAACCGCUGAAAGCAUCUAAGCGGGAAACUUGCCUCGAGAUGAGUCUUCCCUGUCGCUUUAAGCGACCUAAAGGAACGUUUAAGACUAAGACGUUGAUAGGCUGGGUGUGUAAGCGUAGCGAUACGUUGAGCUAACCAGUACUAAUGAACCGUGAGGCUUAACCUGACAACACCGAA